GCAAGAUGCGCAACCUCUCACGGGAAUACUAUAACGAAGCCGAUCAACUCUUCGGUGUAAGAUUCUCAACUUUCCACUUCAUUCCAUGUUCUCUUUUGGCUCUCACGAAGAAUGCUCGCAUUGUCAACUGCCGUAUCAGAAUGACUACGAUACUGCAUUGCCACUCCCAUGAGAUUGCAUCAUUGGAGCUGAUUCAAGCGUUCGAAUUGGAGCAGUAGUUCGCCGAGGCCUUGCAUACGCUGGAGUGAAGGGCGUGAGCGCAAAGGAGACUCGGAAG